rnacentral:piRNA from 1 species
UGUAAGGCUAGGAUAAUGCCCACUUAGAAGU